AAUUUCAUGACAAAGGCAUGAAGAUGGGGAGAAAACAAGGGGCUCAAGACAAGCUAACUUUAAAAAAGCAGCAGCCCUGCUUCCUGCUACAGCUGAGUCAGAUCAAUGUGCUCUAGUAUCGACAGCUGCCGAUGAGGAGGCACCUGCGAGGCAUUUCAGGAAGUGCUGAUGAGAUGAAAGAAAUACACCUUAGAAGAAAGUGACCCGUGUCACCCUGGAGUUUUAUUAGAGAGAAAAGAGAAAACAUGGAACUGCCAGAUAUUCGAGAAUGGACCUAGAAAAGCCAAGGGUCUGGAAAAUAUAGCACUGAGGGAAAGUUAAGGAACUGGGUGUGUUUAGCCUGGAGCAAGAGAACAUGGAAGGACUCUUAAAAGAUUCGAAGGGCUGCUUUACAGAAGACAGACGUGGUCUAUGGAAUUCCAAAACAAAGAUGUCACCUAAAGGAUGGGGGUUAAGUUUGAUCCAACAUUGGGAAGAACUUUUAAAUGGAACAAUAAGUCACACAAGAGCUGGUGAGAAACUCGUCACCGGAGGCAGAGACAACUAGAAGCUGAACAGCUGUCUGUCAGAGAAGCCUCAGAAGGUAUUUCUGCUUUGUGUGGGAGUUCAGAUCAGGAGAGUCCAAGGAACCUUUCAAUUCUAUGAGUGAUUAUUCUAUUUAAAUUCAUGAAGCUAAGUGGCAAUUUAAGGAAGCCUAAGUGACCUUGAAGCUUAGAUUUUUUUAGAGUUUUCUUGAACCUGAACCAAGCCAGACCUUCACUGUACUAACAAAAGGGUCAAAACAGAGUACCAUCAAAACUACCCAAGACAUCUAAAAUUUCUUUCAAGUAUAGAGGUUAUAUGCAGUGUAGCACAGUAUCUUUUUACAAUAGUGUAGGCAUAAGUUUCCCUUUUUACUACCAGUAUGCUUCACUAGUCAUUCAGAAAGUGCCCCCAAUCCUACCUCCCUCCUGGGAGUCUUGCCAUUUUAAUGGAAAGAACAUUUUAAAAAAUUACAAUCAUAUUUAAAAACACAUGUAUGUACAACUGCAAAAAUAUGUUCGGUGUUUAGUAUAUGCAAAACAAUAAAAAUUGAAUGUAAUCAUUAAUUAUAUAGUAAUAGUAAUGAAGUAAGAGAUCGUCUUAAAUAAACACUAAAUAUUUUCUCA